UCUGCCUUGCACUCUGGGAUAAGCCUGGGAAACUGGGUCUAAUACCGGAUAUGACCUGCCUCUGCAUGGGGGUUGGUGGAAAGAUUUAUCGGUGCGAGAUGGGCCCGCGGCCUAUCAGCUUGUUGGUGGGGUAAUGGCCUACCAAGGCGACGACGGGUAGCCGGCCUGAGAGGGCGACCGGCCACACUGGGACUGAGACACGGCCCAGACUCCUACGGGAGGCAGCAGUGGGGAAUAUUGCACAAUGGGCGGAAGCCUGAUGCAGCGACGCCGCGUGAGGGAUGACGGCCUUCGGGUUGUAAACCUCUUUCGACAGGGACGAAGCGCAUGUGACGGUACCUGUAGAAGAAGCACCGGCCAACUACGUGCCAGCAGCCGCGGUAAUACGUAGGGUGCGAGCGUUGUCCGGAAUUACUGGGCGUAAAGAGCUUGUAGGCGGUUCGUCGCGUCGAUUGUGAAAACUUGCAGCUCAACUGCAAGCUUGCAGUCGAUACGGGCGGACUAGAGUACUUCAGGGGAGACUGGAAUUCCUGGUGUAGCGGUGAAAUGCGCAGAUAUCAGGAGGAACACCGGUGGCGAAGGCGGGUCUCUGGGAAGUAACUGACGCUGAGAAGCGAAAGCGUGGGUAGCGAACAGGAUUAGAUA
rnacentral:rRNA from 1 species